GGGGAAUCUUGCGCAAUGGGCGAAAGCCUGACGCAGCAACGCCGCGUGCGGGAAGAAGGCUUUCGGGUUGUAAACCGCUUUCAGAAGGAACGAAACUGACGGUACUUUCAGAAGAAGGUGCGGCCAAUUACGUGCCAGCAGCCGCGGUGACACGUAGGCACCAAGCGUUGUCCGGAUUUAUUGGGCGUAAAGAGCUCGUAGGCGGUUCAGUAAGUCAGAUGUGAAAACUUUGGGCUCAACCCAAAGCGUGCAUCUGAUACUGCUGUGACUUGAGUUCGGUAGGGGAGUGGGGAAUUCCUAGUGUAGCGGUGAAAUGCGCAGAUAUUAGGAGGAACACCGGUGGCGAAGGCGCCACUCUGGGCCGAAACUGACGCUGAGGAGCGAAAGCGUGGGUAGCAAAC
rnacentral:rRNA from 1 species